UACGGGAGUGGCAGACGGGAGAGUAACACGUGGGAACGUGCCCUUCAGUUCGGAACAACCCAGGGAAACUUGGGCUAAUACCGGAUACGUCCGUAAGGAGAAAGAUUUAUCGCUGAAGGAUCGGCCCGCGUCUGAUUAGCUAGUUGGUGGGGUAAUGGCUCACCAAGGCGACGAUCAGUAGCUGGUCUGAGAGGAUGAUCAGCCUCAUUGGGACUGAGACACGGCCCAA
rnacentral:rRNA from 1 species